rnacentral:misc_RNA from 1 species
UUUCCGUAGGUGAACCUGCGGAAGGAUCAUUACAAUUUUGGCGCACCAAGAUGCCCUCGGGCGUUGCGGUGUUGUCAAUCGAGAUACCAACCCAUGUCUUUUGAGCACCUCUGUUUCCUCGGCGGGCCCGCCCGCCAACGGGGACCACAACAAACUCUUGUAGUUGCAGUAAGCGUCUGAAAACAAAUAAUCAAAACUUUCAACAACGGAUCUCUUGGUUCUGGCAUCGAUGAAGAACGCAGC